rnacentral:lncRNA from 1 species
UUUUUUUUUUUCUAUUUUUGGAACAUUAAAGAACCUAUUUUCAAUUUUUGAACCUAAAGGACCUAUUUUUUAAAAAACUAAAUAUAGGUUCUUCAAUGGUCCAAAAUUUGAAAAAUUAGUUAUUUUGAGCUUCUCUAGUCAAUGACAAGGCUUCAUGAAAAUUUUAAAAUUUUUAGAAAGAAUAAUUUUAAUUACACUGAUUUUGAAUACGAUUAUGAUAUUGUUUUUUGAAUAUGAUCCAAAAACAGUAUAACUCCUAUUCAAAAUUAGUGUAA